UCAUUUAACAGGCGAUUCUAUCCAAAGCAACUUUCAGAGGCUAGGGGGUAGCUAUGAAUCAACAACUGUUGACCUCGGUACGUUUCAUCCGAAGGACGGAUUAAAAAUGUAAAAUGACAUAUUGUUUUUUUAACUCUGGUGUGAGAGUUUACCAGGUCUUUGUAAACUAUGUGGUAAGGUAAAGUUAACCGCUCAGAUUAAAUAAAAACAGCUAUAGAUUAUAUGAAACAAUAGUCUAUUCCUAAUAUAAUAAUGAACUUAACGUUAUGUCAUAUUACAAAGUAGUAUUAUUAAAACGAUAUUAUUUUUUUCACUUAAAAUAUAUAUUCUAAAAAUACUGUCACAACAUUUAAAACAAUGUACUAUGUAGAAAGACGGCGAUCACACAUCAAAUACAGUUUGACAAUUAAAGUUCACAGAAUGCCGACCACAACACAACCUGCCCUCUAAAGUUAUAAUUUCGCGCAUGCGCAAAAGGCAAGCGGCUACUUCGUUUCCGUGACAACGGCCUUGGCGGUUCUAGUGUUAAUUGCAGUUUUUUGUUGUUAACACUAUCAAAUACCUAAAAGGAGAGAAAACAUUUUCAAUAUAAUUUCAUAUAGAUAUGUACCUUGAUAUUUCAUAGCCGUAUAACCAUGCCAUGUCCACAGCGUGAACUCCAGUUUUCCACCUGCACUAAAAUCCAAUUAAAUUAUACUUUACUGGACGUUUCACUAACUGGACGUCCUGUGAAUGUAGUUUAGCUCCGUAAUCGUUUUGUUACUAGUUAUAUAUCGGAUUUAACAUCUUACCUAGGAUUUUUCCUUCUGUACCUUUUUUGAAGAAGUAACCGACUCUGUUACUGGCAGACUUGAGUGAAUGUUUUGCUUUUUAGUUAGAAAAUACCGGAUUUGCAGCUGCUUCUCACUCAUUUCUGAAUCUUAAGUAAACGCACAUAACAUCACGAAGGCAUGCGAAUGGGAGAACUUGACCAGCCGCUUCAGGAAAAUCGAGUCUCUGCUUGGUCUGGCUGGCUGCCUCCUUGUGCUCUAUGCAGUGUGGAGCCCCGACUGGAUCAGGGGCGAGGGUCUGUGGAUCACGGGUAAUGACACCUUCGCAGACUGCUGGAGGAAGCGCUCUGAAGGCUGAGUGUCCCAAGAGACAAGAUGCAGGUGAGUGGGGUUCCUUUGAAAUACCUCCACUUUAUUGUUAUUUUGUGGAAAUAAAUAUUUGGGUUUUCGGUCAAUCCUAGUACCUAGGCAUUUCAGCACUGAAAAAUAACAAACUAUUUCUCAACUCCUUCUCAGCUUAACCAGAGUGCCAAUUUUACUACUGCUAGUACUAUACCGCUGUGUUCUGCCCCCUGUCUCCCUGGUAAUAUACUGUAUCGCUGUGUAGACGCGUUCUCCCUUGCCCCCACUCUCUGACAGUAAUGUUUGCUCCUCCCUUGUCUUGUGCAGUGCUGGAAGUGGAGCGCAUGUUUGCAAUCAUUGCCUUCAUCCUGGCUGGGAGCUGCAGCUGUGUGUGUCUGCUCUUCAUUUUUUGCUGGUCCUCUUACACCAGCAGGUCCUACACUUCCACUUCCCCCCAGGUGAACGGGGGCCAGGUUCUCUUCCCAGGCACGCUCCUGUUGGUCAUCCUCUUCCCUACAGACCACAAUGUGCUAAACAGACUCGUCGUCAGUAAAGAUCACUGCCACAGCAGGGCCUAGGGGCUCAAUGGGACGACUACAUCAAGAUUUUUGGUCUUUUCUUCCUCAUCAGCUGGUCUCUCUUUACUAGACACCACAGAGAUGAGAUCGCCGGUGACAUCGCUCAGCUCGGCUCUUGCUAUUGGCUGGGAGCCCUGGCUUGGGUGUUGCUGCUUGUGGCAGUGCCUGUCACCUUCGUCAUUGAGCAGUUUGUCUGCCCUGACCCCCCGGCAGACACUUCUGCCUUGCUGGAGCCAGGCCGCCCCUCACAGCAGAGAACUGGAGCAGGGUCAGUGCACAGGGUGGUGUGAUCAACCUCAGAAGAAAGGGACACAGCCUUAGAAUCAGAACAUUACAAGAGACCCUUGCUAAUGAACGUGAAUCUCUUACCUACUACUGCCGCAGUGAAGAGAUCACGUGGAGGGAUAUAUCACAGGGCAGAUUCAUCUCAUUUGUACUACUUUAUGUUGUGUACUAUAGUUAUGUGUUGUAAAUCCUUGUAAUACAUAGACAAACAUCAAAGCUUGGCUGCUUAUGACAAGUAGUUAUGACAUUUUAAUUUCUAAGUUCUAAUUUCUAGGUAAAAAAUAUAGCUCCAUUUGGAAAUCUAUGGCAGUUUAACUGCAAUGAAAGGGCAGACACAGCAUCAGCACUAUCACUAUUAAAGCAAUGUAAUGGCACUAUAGCUUAGCAUUGUACUGCUGUUAAAACCUGCUGGUAAACUGUGCAUGUUUGUAUACUUUAGUCAUUUAGCUCCAUGGUAAUCGCUGGCCAUUGAUUUUGCAUAGAAUAUUUUGUUAAGUCGGUUUACACUAAAAUAGCAGUUAUGAACCAGUUGCAUUAUAGAGUGGAUACAUUAGAGCAAGUUCAAGAUAUGGUUUUACUUCAGGUUAUUGUAGUAACGAGGUCUGUCAUGCAUAACUAAUGUUAAUGUUGCAGGAUUAUUUGUAGCUGAUUGUGAAACUCUGCAUCUUUCGCUACUGUCUGGAAUGGUACUUUGGGGACUGAUUCCCUUUAAGCAGGUAAACUAACUGGGGACUACCAAGAAACAGACAAAAUGCAUGUACACAUGUUACUUUAGACUUUUGUAACAUUGACUUUUCAUUUAGAAAAAUCUAAUAUCUGUAAAACAAAGCAUGCUAUGAUUUGCUGUAAAUGCAGAGCAAAACUGAGAACAGUUUUUAAAGUUCUGUAGGUUCUGGCCUCUUCAACCCCAGGUGCUUAUUGGAUCGUUUUCAUUUUGCAAGAAGAUAUAGAUUGUUAUUGUGGAACUUUGUAUGAUGAAUUUCCACACUGAUGAAUAUGUGUACAUUACAGUGCGGGGUCAUAAUUUGAAACCCCCCUGCCAGUGCUUAUAGAUCCAGCUGCUGGCCCUGCACUUCGAGGAGAAAGAGGAACUGAUCUGAUGAGGCCUGGUCAGCAGGGGGGACCGUGACAAAUACAUGCCCGGCCUGCCAUCAAGGGGACUGCCUGUAACAAAGUGGAGGUUGAAAGUAUAACUCGUAUUCUCUGGGGUUUCAAUGUUAUGGAGGAGGAAUCCAGGCAUGGAACAAGCCACUGUAGAACUGCAGGAGCUGGGAGAGGUCCAGUUUUGCAGUGUCCAGCAGGAACAUGUGUCUAUCAUACUCCAGCCCCUAACUUAUCUCAAAAAGCAAAGACCCAGGGCCUCUAACUCACUGUCUCUGUGGAAUACAGUAACUUCUACAGGACCUGCAGCUGGAAAACUGCCACUCUGCUGGCCAGAUCAGUCAGGCCCUGCGCCCCUCCUCCCAUGGGAGGUACAGUACACCCUGCCGAAGCCAUUGCAUCCCGUCCCAAAAGAACUGCACCAACUCGUUCUG